rnacentral:rRNA from 1 species
UUGGGUGACGAGUGGCGGACGGGUGAGUAANNNCUGGGGAUCUGCCCGAUAGAGGGGGAUAACCACUGGAAACGGUGGCUAAUACCGCAUAACGUCGCAAGACCAAAGAGGGGGACCUUCGGGCCUCUCACUAUCGGAUGAACCCAGAUGGGAUUAGCUAGUAGGCGGGGUAAUGGCCCACCUAGGCGACGAUCCCUAGCUGGUCUGAGAGGAUGACCAGCCACACUGGAACUGAGACACGGUCCAGACUCCUACGGGAGGCAGCAGUGGGGAAUAUUGCACAAUGGGCGCAAGCCUGAUGCAGCCAUGCCGCGUGUAUGAAGAAGGCCUUCGGGUUGUAAAGUA